GAUGAACGCUGGCGGCGUGCCUAAUACAUGCAAGUCGAGCGAACGGACGAGAAGCUUGCUUUUCUGAUGUUAGCGGCGGACGGGUGAGUAACACGUGGAUAACCUACCUAUAAGACUGGGAUAACUUCGGGAAACCGGAGCUAAUACCGGAUAAUAUUUUGAACCGCAUGGUUCAAAAGUGAAAGACGGUCUUGCUGUCACUUAUAGAUGGAUCCGCGCUGCAUUAGCUAGUUGGUAAGGUAACGGCUUACCAAGGCAACGAUGCAUAGCCGACCUGAGAGGGUGAUCGGCCACACUGGAACUGAGACACGGUCCAGACUCCUACGGGAGGCAGCAGUAGGGAAUCUUCCGCAAUGGGCGAAAGCCUGACGGAGCAACGCCGCGUGAGUGAUGAAGGUCUUCGGAUCGUAAAACUCUGUUAUUAGGGAAGAACAUAUGUGUAAGUAACUGUGCACAUCUUGACGGUACCUAAUCAGAAAGCCACGGCUAACUACGUGCCAGCCGCCGCGGUAAUACGUAGGUGGCAAGCGUUAUCCGGAAUUAUUGGGCGUAAAGCGCGCGUAGGCGGUUUUUUAAGUCUGAUGUGAAAGCCCACGGCUCAACCGUGGAGGGUCAUUGGAAACUGGAAAACUUGAGUGCAGAAGAGGAAAGUGGAAUUCCAUGUGUAGCGGUGAAAUGCGCAGAGAUGUGGAGGAACACCAGUGGCGAAGGCGACUUUCUGGUCUGUAACUGACGCUGAUGUGCGAAAGCGUGGGGAUCAAACAGGAUUAGAUACCCUGGUAGUCCACGCCGUAAACGAUGAGUGCUAAGUGUUAGGGGGUUUCCGCCCCUUAGUGCUGCAGCUAACGCAUUAAGCACUCCGCCUGGGGAGUACGACCGCAUGGUUGAAACUCAAAGGAAUUGACGGGGGCCCGCGCAAGCGGUGGAGCAUGUGGUUUAAUUCGAAGCAACGCGAAGAACCUUACCAAAUCUUGACAUCCUUUGACAACUCUAGAGAUAGAGCCUUCCCCUUCGGGGGACAAAGUGACAGGUGGUGCAUGGUUGUCGUCAGCUCGUGUCGUGAGAUGUUGGGUUAAGUCCCGCAACGAGCGCAACCCUUAAGCUUAGUUGCCAUCAUUAAGUUGGGCACUCUAAGUUGACUGCCGGUGACAAACCGGAGGAAGGUGGGGAUGACGUCAAAUCAUCAUGCCCCUUAUGAUUUGGGCUACACACGUGCUACAAUGGACAAUACAAAGGGCAGCGAAACCGCGAGGUCAAGCAAAUCCCAUAAAGUUGUUCUCAGUUCGGAUUGUAGUCUGCAACUCGACUACAUGAAGCUGGAAUCGCUAGUAAUCGUAGAUCAGCAUGCUACGGUGAAUACGUUCCCGGGUCU
rnacentral:rRNA from 1 species